rnacentral:rRNA from 1 species
ACCAACGCCGCGUGAGCGAUGAAGGCCUUCGGGUCGUAUAGCUCUGUUGUUAGGGAAGAGCAAGUACCAGAGUAACUGCUGGUACCUUGACGGUACCUAACCAGAAAGCCACGGCUAACUACGUGCCAGCAGCCGCGGUAAUACGUAGGUGGCAAGCGUUGUCCGCAAUUAUUGGGCGUAAAGCGCGCGCAGGCGGUCCUUUAAGUCUGAUGUGAAAGCCCACGGCUCAACCGUGGAGGGUCAUUGGAAACUGGGGGACUUGAGUACAGAAGAGGAAAGUGGAAUUCCACGUGUAGCGGUGAAUGCGCUAGAGAUGUGGAGGAACACCAGUGGCGAAGGCGACUUUCUGGUCUGUAACUGACGCUGAGGCGCGAAAGCGUGGGGAGCAAACAGGAUU